CAAUAAUUAUAUAUUAUUAUUUGCCAGACGAAUAUAUUUUUUUUUUCAAUUUCAACCGAUGUUCCAUGAUAAAUUAUGACUCCGCGCCCUCCCAGUAUCUGCAAUGAUAGAAUUCUUUGCCAUACGCUUUUGCUUUAAAUUACCAAAUCAAUGUUCAUAAAAUCACUCUCCCUUUUCAAGUCUUAACAUAAUAAGUUGCCGCACCCAAUCAAUGUACAAAUAUAUCUUAAGGUCAACCUUGCUGUUCCCC
rnacentral:lncRNA from 1 species